rnacentral:rRNA from 1 species
GAUGAACGCUGGCGGCGUGCUUAACGCAUGCAAGUCGAACGGAAAGGCUCCUGCUUGCAGGGGUACUCGAGUGGCGAACGGGUGAGUAACACGUGGGUGAUCUGCCCUGCACUUCGGGAUAAGCCUGGGAAACUGGGUCUAAUACCGGAUAGGACCACAUUUUGGAUGGUGUGGUGGAAAGUUUUUCGGUGUGGGAUGAGCUCGCGGCCUAUCAGCUUGUUGGUGGGGUAAUGGCCUACCAAGGCGUCGACGGGUAGCCGGCCUGAGAGGGUGUACGGCCACAUUGGGACUGAGAUACGGCCCAGACUCCUACGGGAGGCAGCAGUGGGGAAUAUUGCACAAUGGGCGCAAGCCUGAUGCAGCGACGCCGCGUGGGGGAUGACGGCCUUCGGGUUGUAAACUCCUUUCGCUAGGGACGAAGCGUUUUUGUGACGGUACCUGGAGAAGAAGCACCGGCUAACUACGUG